GUGGCCGCCGAGCACAUGGACCCACUGGUCAAGCGGGCUCGGCAAGGCCAGGAUGAAGAGAAGCUACGAACUUAGCAUUCCCAGAGCCCCCCGAGUGGAUAUCCGCGUGGAAAGGAUGUUGGCAGCCCCGGUGACCUCGGAGUCACGGCUGGAUCCACCCUCUUUAUACCCUUUAAGCGUUCCAGAAGGAUUUUGAGAUCCUUUCCUAAAUCAAAGGUGGAAUAUUUGGGGAUUUGGAAAAUUGAGAUGUGAAGCGUUGACUUAAGAGAUGCCAAGUAACUCAGCAGAUGUCACACAGACGAUAAAUAGCAAAGAUGGAAGUCUUCAUGCCGGAGGCAAUCCUAUAAGACAGCUGAGUUCUGCAGAGCUGGAGACAGACUUGCUCAGGUGAUAGAUCCAGCCAUGAUACUGACCCUAAGAGAAUGAGACGCUCUGCAGAAGACAGAAGAUUCCUGAAACUGGGAAAGGUGCCUAGAAAUCCUGAUAAGAGUGAAGAAGGCUCGGCUCUCCAGUGUGGUUUUCCAACAGGAGUCAAAUAUUAAAGGACAUGAGCGUGUUGGGGAAAAAGAUGGAUAGUGCUAAACAGCCUGAGUUCAUCCUCACUAUCCUCUUCAUAAGGAGAGCAAGAACAACCCCGGAAAUGGCUCAUGCUUAAGGUUUCUAACCACGGUCACACCUACAACACACUGAUUGACAAUAUAGGUUACAGUACACA
ensembl:lincRNA